CUCUCCUUUCUCUGCUUUGCCCGCCCAUGAGAGAGAGACAUUGUGGAUUUCAAACAAGCAAAGUGGCAGUUGGUCGAGGCCACACCCCCAUCCUUCACCUUGCCCCCUCUCUCUCCUCCUCAAAAACUACAGACUCAGAAAUGGCACAUACUAAGGAAAGCUCAUUGUGGGACUGGCUGUAGUGGCUGUAAUGCUGCACCAAAGCUGAAUUUUAGGAAAGGGACUUCAGAUACAGUAUUAGGGGACCACUAAGGUCUAUAUAAAAGAAUCCAAAGAACACCAUGUCAUGGGACCUUUAA